rnacentral:snRNA from 1 species
GUGCUCAGUUCAGCAGCACAUAUCAUAAAACUGGAACAGUAUAGUACAGAUAUUUGUAUGGCCUCUGUGCAAAGAUGACUCAACUUUAGAGUACUUCAUAUUUUU